rnacentral:lncRNA from 1 species
GUACUAUUAUUCUUUUUGCAGUCUGUGUGCAACCAUUUUAUAACUUUUAAAAGUAGUGGAAAUUUAUUAUUACUCUUUCUCUUAUUUGUUUUUUUCAUCUUUAUCACCUUGUACUCCAACAAACAGACUAAUAAAUAAUCUAGAAUAUAAAACAUACAAUUAUUUUUCAUUAUGCAAUUGAAACAUACAUGAAUGAUUUUAUCGAAACAUACAAAGUUGCAACCAUAUUUCUAACUUUGUUUUAUUUAGGAUACAUAAAAUCAUACUUGUCCUUACAUACAUUUAUUAUUUGAACAUAAAUCCAGUUUGAACAUGAAGUUAGCAUCUAGAUAACACAAGGACGGUCAACAGAAUAAUUAGGCACCCAAGCAGCAGCCUUAUUGCCAAUGAAAUGGCAAACAGAAACAGUUCCAGGGCUAACUUUGAGAGCUUCGUAAAGCAACUCAGGGUUCAUACCUCUUGUAUCAUGAUGACAAACGGUUAAAGCCUUUGCUUUGCUUCCAUCAGGUGCUGCCAACGAGACCACGUAAGCGGUUGUUUCACGCACUUGGUGGCAAUUGAAUACAACUUUUUCAAAAUUCAAUCUAUGACACAUCACUGCAUUGUCACCAACUUUUUUUACUUCCUCCACAACAUAUUGGUCUUCAUUUUUGUCGAAGGUACUUGAAAUAGCCUUAAUCUUUGAUGUUCUAAAAUGUGAAAUGACAUGAUCAAUCAUAGAUUCUAAAGAUGAUACACAAUGUUUGUGUUCUCCUUUAGCAGUUGGACUAUUACAAAAGUCAUCCAGACUUUGUCUUUCUUUAUUCUCCAGCCAUAUGGAAUCAGUCACACCUUGUCUUGGUUCUGUGAAUGGCCGCAUCAUCUUUGCAACAGACUGAGUGUUACCCAAUACUAUUUUCUUUCCAGGAUAAAGAUCAUGUGGAAAAAAAAGUGUCGAGUAUUGGUUUAAUUCUUCGACUCUAAUGGGUAGGCUAUUAGUUUUUCCAUCUGCCACAUGAAACAACAUAUUAUAAUUACUUCAAAAACCAUGAUAAAUAGUCUUAUUAUGAGACAACAUUUCGUUAUAUAAUUCAUGUUACUAACAAGGAAGCAAAAGAUCUGAAAAAGCCUCAGGGAGAGGAGUGUUUGGCCACACAUAUUUCCAAUAAUCUUCUCCGGAUGGUAUGGCACCGGUACUCACAAAAGCCAACUGUAAAAAUAAUAAUUCACAUUUUAUAUAUUAGUGUUGAAUUCAAAAUGAUUAAAGAGUUUUUUCCUCAUUCCUUCUUAUAAACAAAUAUACAUCAUCAUAUAUACAAUAGAGUAGAAAAUAUAUAACUUACACAAAAGAGAGCCAAAACCGUGAUAUGUGAAAACUCCAUUUAGCUAGUUACAAACAAGUGGUAACUGUGAAGACUUUAGUGGAGUGUGUAUGAAACUGUUACAACUUUCUCAUUAUUUAUAGGUAAAUACAUACACUAUAAUUGCAUGCAAAACUUGUCUUAUUGAUCAUAUUCAUUCCUCCAAGUGGUAACAAACUUUAUGCACGUGCCAUCCAUGCAAAACAAUUGCAUUAUCUCCUCAUUCUUUGCAAAGUUUUUGUGUGGUUUCGGUUUUUGUCUAAACUUACAAACUUUUUGUGCAAAUGCCGUCCAUGCAGGAAGAUGCCAUUAAUUACUAUCCAAACUUUGAUUCUCCUUGAGCAUAGCAUGUGCAUAAUAUUUACUCAUUUACUGCAUUAUUUUACACAACUGUUUUAAACACUCCAAUACUUUAUUAAAGUGCCUCAAGAUAUUCUUUUAUUAAAUACAGUAUCAUUUAAAGACAAUAUUAUUUUCUUUUUUAUAAAAUGAAAUAUAGCUCAAUAUGUUGAGCCUUAGUUAAUAUUUUGCUUUGCAUUAAAAAGUUUAUAACAAUACUUAAAGCGUUUUAUUUAUUUAUUUACUAGAUGUCUAUUUUUAAAAUGUCAUAUAUAACAUUCUUAUUAUAAUAAAAAAUAGUAGAAAGUGGACCACCAAAGUUAAUAAUCAACAAAUCUCGUGGUAUCUCGACUAUAUAUUCAUCAUUAGCGUCUCCGAUAUUUCCAUUGCUAAUUUCCAUUGCUAAUUUCCAAAAUCCAUUAUGAAAAACUCUUUCUCUCUUCCGAAUCUAUACCUUUGGUCAUAAAAAAAUUUAUAUGGUAUAUGAACAUGUGUAGAUGGCAAUGUCUAUCUACUUUCCAUUUUUUCACUCCUAAAUUGUAAACAACUUUUUUUAAUAAAAAUAAUAAUUUAUAUUUUACUGUUUUAAAACUGCUUAAAAUAAAAUGGUCAUAAAAUAAUUUUAAGUUUAAUUAUAAUUUUCAAAUAGACAUGAAAAUACUUUAAAUUCUUCCUAAAAUAUAAUUUUUAUUAUAUCUACAAUUUUAUUUUAAGCAGUUUUCAUGUCUAUUUUAAAUCUUUGGGUCAUAUGAUUGUUUGAUGUCAAUUGAAUUGUUUUAUGUCAUUGUUAAUAUUUAAUUGUUCUUGAUCUUAAUGCAUUUUAUGUAUUGACGAAUGCAUGAAUUAAUAUUAGAUGAGUAUGGAUAUCUGAUCGUUAGUCUAUUGAUCCCAUCUCUGGCGAUUAUUCAAAUUAAUAAUUAACUAGUAAUAUGUAAUUAUAAGUUGUAGCUUUUGAAUAACGAACUCAGAACGCCUAAUUUAACUCUGAAUUGGCCUAAGGAAUUAGGGAAUUAUUGUGUAUAUUAGUGAGUUGUACACCAAGGAAUUAGGUGCAAUGGUCGUGUUAAUUCGUCGUAAUACUUAACAUAUUAUAAAUUUGAUUAAUGCAUAAGAAUGAGUAGGGGAGUCGAAAUAAGAUCUAUUAGGUGCAAUGGUCGUGUUAAUUCGUCGUAAUACUUAACAUAUUAUAAAUUUGAUUAAUGCAUAAGAAUGAGUAGGGGAGUCGAAAUAAGAUCUAAUCGCCUUUAGUUAUUGAAUUUUAUUCCAAAUUUUUUUUCGUUUUAUUUGCGAACCAAAUAAACCUUGAAAUUCAAUAAGGAAAAGAAAAGAGGUCGUAAAAAGGUUUUUUAUUAGGGUGCUUGAUGAGAUUGUUGGUCUCGCUCCUACGUAUCCUCGGGUGCAAAGAGAAAUUUAAAGCAACGUAGUUCUUUGUAGAAAACUAUGUAUUGAUUGAUUGAUUUUAUUUAACGAAUGCUUAGAUCGCACUCUAGCAGUUAAAUGUUAUAUGUGCUCAUAAUUUGAGGCUUAAACAGAUAAAAUAAUUUUCUUUUGCAAAGGGUUUUCGAUCGUACGGGGGAGAGAAAAAUAAGUCUGAUGUGUUGAGAAUGUUUUUGGGUGAUUAACGAAUACUCGAAUGGUGGGCUAAUUACGGCCAUCACACAAAAAUUAGGGGUUACGAGGAACAAGUACGUCAUACCCAACCUUUUUCAAUCGAAUUAUUUAUGAAAUUGGUGCGGUGAAUUAAGUCAUGUUUCUUCAACAGAAGACGAGUAUUCACGCAGGAAGCUAAUUAUGGUCAUCACACAAUUACAAGGGAUUACGAGGGAUAAGUACGUCCUGAAGGUGAGAAAAAUACAAAAGAAUGGGAGGUUGAUGUAUGUUAAUUCUUUUUCGCUUCUGAACAACUAACUUCAUAAUUUUAAACAAGUUCAGAAUUUUGAUCUCAGAGUUAAGAGCAGCGAUAUGAAUAAUAUUCAGAAGCAAUAAACAAAGCAAACACAAAAGUUAUUCUUGGCUUCUUCUCUAAACUGAUAGUAGUCCAGUCCCCUUGUCCAACAAAAUAUUUUCCACUAUAAUCAAACUAAUUACACUUUUCUUAAACAAACUAGCACGAAAUUCAACCGCUCAAUCACACCAGGAAGAAACUUUCGCUCAAUGCAAGUCCAGGAAAUACUUUUUGGCUCAAGCACAUAAGCAAGCGGCUUCCACUCCUCAAGAAAACUAGCAAGAGACUUCCCUUUCUCAAGCAAACUAGCAAGAGACUUUCUCUACUUUAAACAAAUAGUUUAGUAGAAUAUACUACAAUUAUACUUGAUGUACAAUCAGAGUUAUAAAAGUGAUACAACAAUCACAAGAUACUUAAACACUUAAUAUCUAUAAGAUAUACGGAGACAAGAAAUCUUAAGAGCUUGUGCAGUAAACAGAUAAAACUUUAGCUCAAAGUUUGCGCUCAAUGUGUUCUAUUAUAUUGUUCGACAGUUUGGUAACCUUCCUUCAAAUCUUCAACUCCCUUUUAUAGAGGCGGAAAAAGAGUCGUUGGAAAGUAGUUUUCACAAGUGAUAUUUGAAAAGCAAUAGUUCCAAGAGAGAGACAUUGGAAAAUGGAUCUUGUUAAGAUCUUCAACCAUUGGGUAAUAACAUAUUUCACUGCUUCUUUUUCAUACUAGGUAUAGAUCAAACAUUGGCGCAGACUUAAGAGGUCACAUAAACUUUCCUUGAGCCUUGCACUAAUAGACUCUAGUUAACUUUUUCCAUAAGUCUGGCGUUGACAAGAUUGGUCUGCUAUGGAGAUAGAAAACGGAUCAGAAGCUUAGCACCUUUAACUAAGGUCUUCAGAUUCUGAGCUGUUACCAA